CCUACGGGCGGCAGCAGUGGGGAAUAUUGGACAAUGGGGGAAACCCUGAUCCAGCGACGCCGCGUGAGUGAAGAAGUAUUUCGGUAUGUAAAGCUCUAUCAGCAGGGAAGAAAGAAAUGACGGUACCUGACUAAGACGCCCCGGCUAACUACGUGCCAGCAGCCGCGGUACUACGUAGGGGGCAAUCGUUAUCCGGAUUUACUGGGUGUAAAGGGAGCGUAGACGGCGAUGCAAGUCUGAAGUGAAAGGCGGGGGCCCAACCCCCGGACUGCUUUGGAAACUGUGUGGCUGGAGUGCAGGAGAGGUAAGUGGAAUUCCUAGUGUAGCGGUGAAAUGCGUAGAUAUUAGGAGGAACACCAGUGGCGAAGGCGGCUUACUGGACUGUAACUGACGUUGAGGCUCGAAAGCGUGGGGAGCAAACAGGAUUAGAUACCCCAGUAGUC
rnacentral:rRNA from 1 species